rnacentral:SRP_RNA from 2 species
UGGAAGGUUGGCGCGGGCGACAAUUUCGCCAAGCCGGUCAGGUCCGAAAGGAAGCAGCCGUAACGAAUUUUGACGGGUCGUGUUCAACCUUCCACUU